AGGACCAGAGACCUCUCUAGGAAGGAUGAAAUGUAGUCUUCCCUUAAGAACAUGGCAGCUCCAGAUGAGGAUUGCUAGUGGUGAAUGAAGAUGAUGUAAUAUCUUUUCUCACAGGAACCUGGAGUUGAAUUGAAGAGCACUGAAGCCUGUAGAUCUCCUUGGAAGAGUCCUGUUCAGAGUCUGAGGAGUGAUUAAUAUGCAUGGAUUUCUCAUCAAAGAGCAGAUUGUGUCAAAUUCACAGAGCGCUUGACUCUUGCGUGGCUCAGAACUCAUUAUCUUCCAGCAGCAAGUUGAGAGAUUCUUGGACAGACAUCUAAACAAACGCUCAAGUUGCUGCUUUGACCCAGCUAACCUUCCGCAAUAAAGGGUAGUCUUAUUGAAGUCAACUCAAUCCCAGUGGGCCUUAUAUUUAUGACAUUCCAGACUGAAGAUAACAUGUGGAAAGCAGCCACAAAGUAAAAAGAAACAAAGAAUUCUGAAUGUGAAAAACUGCCCUGUUGCUCCUUCUGGUUGCCUCUCCUUGCCACAGUCCUUCCUGGACUGGAGCUCAGCCAGCAGAUGCACAUUAUAUUGGAUGCUUCCUCUAAAGAGUCAGGAGGAGUAAGUGGGAAUACGGGCUGUACUCAGAAAGCUGUUGUACUGGGGAGACUGACCUGGAUUCAAAUAUCUGCUGCAAUGUAUUAAUAUCUGUAGACAAGUCACAGCACCUCUCUGUUAUGGUCCAAGACCUUUGGAUUUCAAGGAACUGAGACUCAGUCAAGAUGACUUGAAGAGGAAUGAAUCAGUCAAGGAAACAGAAUCCA